UACGUAGGUGGCAAGCGUUGUCCGGAUUUAUUGGGUUUAAAGGGUGCGUAGGUGGUGCGCUAAGUCACGUGUGAAAUCCCCCGGCUCAACCGGGGAAUUGCGCGUGAUACUGGCGGACUCGAGGCGGGUAGGGGUGAGCGGAACUCCAGGUGGAGCGGUGAAAUGCAUAGAUAUGUCACAGAACACCGAUUGCGAAGGCAGCUUACUAUGGUUUUAUUGACACUGAGGCACGAAAGCGUGGGGAUCAAACAGG
rnacentral:rRNA from 1 species